rnacentral:rRNA from 1 species
UACGUAGGGUGCGAGCGUUGUCCGGAAUUAUUGGGCGUAAAGGGCUCGUAGGCGGUCUGUUGCGUCGGGAGUGAAAACUCAGGGCUUAACCCUGAGCCUGCUUCCGAUACGGGCAGACUAGAGGUAUGCAGGGGAGAACGGAAUUCCUGGUGUAGCGGUGAAAUGCGCAGAUAUCAGGAGGAACACCGGUGGCGAAGGCGGUUCUCUGGGCAUCUCCUGACGCUGAGGCGCGAAAGCGUGGGGAGCAAACGGG